UGUCCUCAAUAGAUAGUGGGAAAAGGUUUUCAAACCACGGACUCAUUUCCUGUUUCCUUUUCAAACCUUGGAUUCGUGAAAGCCAAUUGUUUUGUGUGCGUGUGUGCGCAGGUGUGUGUGUGUGUGUGUUUUCCAGAGCCAUUUUGUUACCAUUGUUUUUUUAGAAUUGAAUGUCAGAGCGAUUACUGCCAGAUUACUGUCCAGAGGGACAGCGGCUUGGAUUUGUCUGACCCAAAACACGGCAAGGUGGACACUGACAGUGCACCCCUGACACGUGGGCGGAAACCAGUAGACACAGCCCUUCUUGUGACUUCUUAUCAGGGCAACGUGACAAGAACUUCAACCUCGAUGAUAUUUGGCUGAAAGCCAGAGGAAAAACCUGUCGCAUUAGACGUCCGGGUAAUUGACCAUCUCCAGUAGUCACACGGUUAGUGCGUCCCUCUCGUUUGCCGAGCGCCGCUCAGCCCAUCCGCCCACACACCGUCGCUUCAUGGCGCUCUCCGAUCCGACCUUGAGCGCCGCAAUUCAACGCGCGAUGGCUUUUAGAGACUGUUUUCUCUCUGAGGCGGUUCAAUCUCGGAGACACCCACCCACACAGACAAACACAUAUAUAUUUGCAAGUACUUGAGAUUAACUACAUCUGACAAUCAAGUACAUUAAUCAUCAAAGAUGACAGAAAGUCCAGUCUAUGCUGUGGUUGUUUAAGGGUCAUUUUAUGGAUAGAGUGAGCGGCACAGAAAACACAAACUAUGAUAAUUUAAAAGUCAAUGUAACUAGACUCUUCGCGACUUUGAAAUGCAAGUCCACCUUGCCUCGAAGGCAGAGCGUUUCCAUCCCAAUAAAGUAAUCACGGCUCUAAAUUUAUUUUUUUUUAAACUGAGCCAACCAGUGUCCACGUAACAGGUGAAUUACAAAAUUGACAGAACAGCUGCUUUGACUAACUGAUGUGAAAUUUGGCAUGAUGUCACACAGGGCAUCCACGUUUUAAUAUUGCUAUUCCAAUAUAUGUUUGGGUAUGUAUGUUUAUUGUUUUAAAUGUAGGAGGCACCAUUUGUGCGUUAAUAAUUUGGAUUAUUUCCCUUUGUUCAUCUCGUCUUUUUGGAGCUGCUGAUAGUGUUUCCACCCACACCUCUUAUUCGUCCACGCGUACAAAGAUCAGCCAAACAAUUUACAACUUCAGAGCAAAUGUUUAUCAUUCAUAUUCAUGAACAUUUUUAAUUGACUUCCAUCUAUCAUUAUUCCAUGCACAUAGCUGAUCAUUAGCAAGGCAGAAUCACCUGUUCCAAGUCCAACAAGUCCUUAUUUCUUUUCUUGCCCUCCCUCUUCGGAUCCAACAAGUGCUUUUUUCUUUCAUUCCCUCCCUCUUCGUUGAAGGGCAACACAGCACUUGAGCAGUGCUGCCGGCUCUGAUGGCGAGCUGAAUAGGAGGCGAAGAAUAUAACAAAAGAUUCAUAAAUGUGUCCAACUGGAAGCUCUGUUAAAUAGCAAGCAAGCGAGCGCACCACACUCCUACACAGCCGCGCACCAAAGCAAGAGCACCACACUCCUACACAGCCGCCCACACAUAAACACAAAACUACACACUAUUGCACAAAGUCAGAUGGCGAGGCACUAAGACGAACAAACACGUGAGUACAUGGACGAUGAUGGCCAGGGGCUGGUGUGGUUUCUCUUCAGUAGAUGCAUAUGGGGGGGCAGCAAAAAAGUGCACCAGAGGGCCAGGUUAUCUUCAUAUUUAUUCAUCUCGCCAUGCAUGAGGAGCAUCACACCGCGCGCUAUUCUCGGCCACAGCCUGCAGCCUGUAAACUGGCUCCCAAAAGAUGGCCCCGGUGAAGUCACCUUUAUGUUUGAGAGGAAAAAAAAAAAUCCACCGGGAAUGUGAGCAUCUUUUGGGAUUUGUGGAAUCGAUUGCUCUAUCAUGAAGAGAAAAUCCUGCUUGUUCUGUUUCCAAAUACGCAUCCAAAGGGAAUAUAAGCACCUUUUGAGAUUUGUAGAAUCGGUUGAUUCUAUCAUGAAGUGAAAAUAUUGCCCAGUUAAUAUAAUAAACUAAGCAAGUUUAUUACAGUUAACAAAAAGUAACGGUAAAACUAAAAUUGAAAGAACGAUUUCGUCAACAAAAUAAAAAUAAAAAAUGCUUGAAAAAAAUUAA